UGGGCUCUCUCUUUCUCCCUGCGGGUUUAAGUUGAUGGUCGAUGGGGUUUGUUUAAAUUAAGCACUGCACAAUGAUGCCCUUAUUGUGGAUCUUUGGUAUUCCUGCAGCAGAAGGAGCGAGUAGCAGCGAACACUGUAACCUUGUUCUCUGGAGAUGACAUGGGCACGAGGAAGAGGAGGAAGAAAUAUGACAAAUGUUUUGAAGGUUCAUAAUAAGAAUCUGUGGUUCUGUGGUUGCUCUUCAUCAUAACGUCUGUAUUACUUGCUUAACACAGUCCUAAUCAAGUAGUUGCAACGCUUCGUUUCGGAUCUGAGGAGUUCUGCGCUGUAAUGUACGCUACCCUUUUUAACAAGUUAAAAAUGUAACAGCUUUUGAAUCAAACUCUUGCUGAACUGUGUAGCUUAGUUCAAUAAAGAUGUUGAAAGUAC